CGCCAAAUUCCACUUGUGCUGCGUUGGUUCUAAAACAAACUGGAGGCAAGCUGCUUUUCAUGACAAAGAUGAAUACAUUAAAAAACCUUACCAGUAAGGCUUUAGUUCGUAGAAAUGGCAUUAUUGUUGAUUAACUAUGCAGUAAAAUUCAAGCUGCUGCUUUUCUUUACAGUAAUGUUAUUUUGCUUGAUGGUUUUAGUAGCUUGACACUUAGGGUAUCAAAUGAAAAGAUCAUUAACAGGGAACAUUUAUAAAUGGAAGUAUUUUUAUUUUGACACUCUUUGAAUGCUUUUAAUUGUUCAGUUUCAGAUCAGUUUAUGCCUUUGCAUCUCUGUGUUCAAGUUUCAAGAAGUUAAGACAGAGUUAAGGAAGAUAACUGGAGAUGUGAAAAAGAUACCAGGUUUCUGGUUCCAAAAUGAUCUGGAAGUGACAAGUCUGAUGAGCCAGAGCUUGAUGCUGUUGCAGUGGGCCUCCUUACUGUCAUCAGUGACCAUGACACAAGUCCAGCUCACUACCACCCUGUGAGAAUCUCUGUUGUUGUUGAAAGUGAUGCCGUGGUCAGCCUCCCCAGACUUGGUGAUGCCUUCCUGGUAAUCUUUGGACUGAUCUUUGCACUACACCUCAGCUAUCCCAUAGCACUGACAAACACUUUUGAAUUCACUCAAAAGAUUUUACUUGGUCUAGAUAGUGGUAAACUGUCACCCAGUUUGCAGACCCUCAAGAAUGACUUGUAGAAACUCAUCUGAAAGAAGGCUAAAGCAUUAUAAAAGGCUAGUUGAAAGUUAUGUCCUUUUGUCUAAAUAAUGCCUCAAAAAGAUACUGCACUACUUUGCAGGUGUUCAGCCAAUAGGCACAAACUACACAAUAUGCCUUUGUUCUCAUUAAUAUGAUGCAAAGGUAAUGCUAAUGUUUUGUAUGUUUUAAUGUUUUUCUCAACCAUUGUGGCCUGCGCAGGAUGACCCUCAUUUCACUGUGCUUUUGAUACUGGUUAAUGUAAUAAAUUUACAUUUUAGAGUUUCAAGUGAAAAUGUUAUUACAGUCUAUAGAAUUUUUGUAAUUUCAUCCAAAUGCCCUGUUGUCUUACUCAGGAAUUUGCCAGGAAGCCAAAAGCACAGUGUUUUUUCAUUUAUAGCUGUAAUGAAAUAAUUAAAUUUUGGUAUUAUUUGAUAUUGUUUAUUAUUGUUUUUGAUUACUCCGAUUAUUUUCCUGACUAUCUGAUUAGUUGUCUGGUCAAUAUCAGAAAUGUGUAAUAAAUACCUAUUUCCUAGGGCCUUAAGUGACCAGGAACUCAUUUGAAAGGCUAGAAUCAGAAUUUUGAGUUUCUUCAUAAAAUAUAUUUUGUUAUUAUUAUUAAAUUACUAUUUAUUUUUAUUUAUAAAUGUUUAUUUUUCUAUUUCAUUUUAACAUUGCAGUGUGCUAAAAGCGAGCAGGCAAGAAAAUACUGUUCAAUAGCAGACGUUCAUGACUUUUAGAAAUAUUAAAUUUGUUAAACUCAAUGUAAUUGAGGCAAUUAUGUAAACAAACUCAACAUAUUUGACUAAUGUGUACUUAAAACAACGACAAC
rnacentral:lncRNA from 1 species